CCUACGGGAGGCAGCAGUAGGGAAUCUUCCACAAUGGACGAAAGUCUGAUGGAGCAACGCCGCGUGAGUGAUGAAGGUUUUCGGAUCGUAAAACUCUGUUGUAAGGGAAGAACACGUACGAGAGGUAAUGCUCGUACCUGCGUACCUUACGAGAA
rnacentral:rRNA from 1 species